rnacentral:rRNA from 1 species
UACAGAGGUCUCAAGCGUUGUUCGGAUUCAUUGGGCGUAAAGGGUGCGUAGAUGGUCGAAUAAGUUAUCAGUGGUAAUCGAGGCCUAACCUCGUGGAAACUGGUAAUACUGUUCGACUGGAGGGCAGGAGAGGUUAACGGAACUCUUUGUGUAGGGGUAAAUCCAACGAUAUAAAGAUGAACACCAAUAACGGCGAGGCAGUUAAC